AUGUCUUGUAAUUGGAAUGAUGGUGACCCAAACCCUCACCAGAGUAGCAAUUGGAGGGCAAGUCUGGUGCCAGCAGCCGCGGUAAUUCCAGCUCCAAUAGCGUAUAUUAAACUUGUUGCAGUUAAAAAGCUCGUAGUUGUAUUUUUGCGUUGACGGUUUGACCAUUUGGUUGGUUAUUUCGUUUUCGCUUUUGGGAAUUUCCCUUUUUACUUUGAGAAAAUUAGAGUGUUUCAAGCAGACUUUUGUCUUGAAUACUUCAGCAUGGAAUAAUAGAGUAGGACUUUGGUUCUAUUUUGUUGGUUAUUGAACCUUAGUAAUGGUUAAUAGGAACGGUUGGGGGCAUUCGUAUUUAAA
rnacentral:rRNA from 1 species